GGGGACGUUUUGGAUUUGACAGGAUGUUUCGGUUGGAAUUGGCUGCGUGUCCGAGCGCUGUUCUCGGUUAUCAACGAGCGACUAAAUUAAAUGCUAACAAUGUAAUUGAAGCAGACUUCAACAGAGCAUAUGCUCAAGCUGCAUAGUCUGUGACUAGCUACUCGUAGAGUCCAGCUUGCCGAUUUUACGGGUCCAUUAUGCAAGCCGCAGUACGUUGAUGACGGUAGACGUAUCAAGACAACCGUAAAGGGUUUAGAGUUUCCUAAUAAAAAACCUAGGGCUGAUUUAUAGGGUUAAGGUUUAUUCCUGAAUCAGUUGAGCGAAUAUAAACCUACACACGUAGAUGUUAGUUACAAUCCAUUUUGGACAGGGGUUCGACUCCCCUCGUCUCCACCA
rnacentral:tmRNA from 1 species